UGCGGUAUCCUGACCGUGCUAAGGUAGUGUAAUUUUUAGUCUAUUGAUUGUAGACCAAUGAAAGGAUUGACGGGUUGGAGUUGUCUACAUUUAUGUAUUUAGAAAUAAACUUUUGAGUGAAGAGGCUCAGAUUUUAUAAAGUGACGAGAAGACCCUGUCAAACUUUAAUUAAUAUAUUUUAUAGUGAAUAUAAAAAUAUAUAAAUUUUAGUUGGGGCAACUGGGAGGGAUAAAAAUCUUUUAUGUAUAUAUUGAAAUUUUUUUUUAUAUUUGAUCCAGAUUAGUAAAUUUUGAAUUUAGAAUAAGUUACUGGAGGGAUAACAGCAUAAUCUUUCUGGUAAGUACUUAUUAAUAGAUUGGUUUGGCACCUCGAUGUUGGCUUAG
rnacentral:rRNA from 1 species